GGAUAAGAUUAAACAAUGUAAAGUUAAGAAUAAAUUGUGCUUGUGCAGGUUCGAGAUAAUUGGAACAAAUUCCAGGAAAUAUCCAGCCAGAUAAUAACUUAACUUGACUGCGGCUUAUUUGGGCCAUAUUAUGCAAUCGUUGAGCUGAUUUCUAAUACCAGGACGCUGGUAAAUCAUGGAAUCGGACGUAGAUUUGUUACGUUUAACUCGGAAUUUGUGGACUAUUUUGGCCGGUCUAUGUAUGUAUGUACAUACCAGGUAA